ACUAAUAUAUAUAUAUAUAUAUAGAUGAACUUAUCCAGUGGAAUACUGAAGGCACAAGGCGAGUAUCACAAAUAUGUCUUCUUAGUCGGAAAAUGGUGUCGGCAUUGUAGUCGGAGAAAUGACUUAGUGCGUUGCUAGGUGAUGCACGGAACUCAUUGCCAAGCUGCAGCAGCAGCACCUUGCGAUGUUUCUGACUACAGCAAAUCGCCGAGUCAUUUCCUGUCGUAACAAGCACGUUUGUCCGAUUCGCGGUCACGGGAAGCAAGUC
rnacentral:lncRNA from 1 species